AGGCCAAUAGCUCAAUUUGGUAGAGCAGCGGUCUCCAAAACCGCAGGUUGGGGGUUCGAUUCCCUCUUGGCCUGCCA
rnacentral:tRNA from 1 species